rnacentral:lncRNA from 1 species
CUCCUUGCGUUAAGUUAGUUACUGUGAUUCACCUUCUCAAUGCCAUCGAACUUCUGGAAUGCAGGAAGUUUUCACCCCAACUUGGAGUAAUUCUCUCAUAGGUUUGGUCGCCUCUGGGAUUGUACCGUCUUCUCCAUCAACCCUGUCGCCUACUCCACUGAGUAGCAAAGGUACAGCACCGCGUACUGCCUGCUUUGUUCCUUGGUUAUGCACUCUUGCAUGACCCGAAGUCCUUCACUUUCGGCUAUCUUGAUGAGAAGCUCAUUGACACCGGUCUUACGAAGUUCCUAGGCCUCUGCCCUUCAGCCUUGUCUCGGUACUUGGAGAUUGCCUCUGCAUGCUCCACCUCCUCGGCCCCUUUCAUGACCAAGCGCUCUCCCUCCAUGAGAGCAAGGGAUCAAUGACUUUCAUGGAAGUCCCGCCUUUGCGGUACCAUGGCGCUGCCAUGCCCAUGGC